ensembl:lncRNA
AUAUUUACUCCCAGUGAGCUUUCAUUAUGUACACCAAAAGGUCAAAGUCAUUUAUUUUGUCUCCCACCCAAUAGGACGAAGUGGAGUUUAUUCUGCUGUCCUCUGAUAUUCCCACAUUUCUCACGCUCUCUCUCCGCCGCGCGUCUCCGCGCGCACGCAUGCGUCAAACCGGCAGCCCGCCACGAGGAGAUUUACAUCCUAUGUUUCUUCAGAUGCCACUGAAAUUAUUGUCAAAAAUAAAAAAAAGGAGCAUUUUUUUGGUGGGGGAAAUACCCCUCACCCCUCCCGACCUGCAGAACAAGAGGACGCCCCCGACUCUUUCCCAACACGAGCGCCGUCUGGAUUCCUGCAAUCCGCAGACCGCGAUUUUCGUCAGCAUCCACGAGGUAGAAUAAUGCAUGUUUCGGCGCAUUCUUCUGAAGUUUUUAAAUUAUGCCGUGUUAUCUUUCGCUCGACAGCCUAUUUGCAAUUCGAUAUGUGGCGUUUGUUGGCAGCCACAUAUGCACCGGCUUCGUUUUGAGAUCAAUGAAUUAGAUAGCCAGGGAAUUAUUUUAGGGGCUGAGCCUCACGAGAAGAGGGGGGGGUGAUAGGGUUCUUAUUUAAAAAAAGAAAACGAUUGUCUAAUAAACGCACGCCCGGAAGUUCCCUCGACAAUUAAACGAGAUAAUGAGAAAUGCUAAAGGUUUCCAUUUGUCAAGGAUUGAGUUAUAUAUUUAUUUUUCCAGCUGCAGCUUCUCUUCAUUCCGUGUCAAAUAUAAUCGUGAGGACAUUUGACAUGGAUAUAUUGUUUGACAUACAACGCUAAAAAAUAUAUGAUUUGGGCUAAAUCAAAUAUGUUUAAAAAAACAAAAACAUGCAGCUUAAAACUUCUCUCAACCUCCAAACUAAAGGCAUGCACGUGAAAUGAUUGCAUCGUCAUAGCAAACAGAGAGCAAAAAAAAGGGAACGAGGAGAAUAAGAGAGACAACAACAUGUAAUGUCAUGUAAUUCAACGGUGUAUUUCAGGUUCAUGGGGUUUUGAACACACUGUUAAAGGAAAAGCUCAGUAAAAAUAUUCUAAGAACAAUGGCUGGUGAAAAGGUGCAUUCCGAUCCAUUAAAAUACCCCAAAUGACCCAUUGUGAUAAAUAAUACAUUCCAAAUGACACAGGAAAAGUGGCACGUAUUCGGGGUGCCCUCGGCCCAGCCCUCCCGUUACGCACGCACGCGGGCACACGCGCCUGCACGCGCGCGCACACACACACACACAUAAGCACACAAAACUCGGAUUAACUAAGGACACAUGUCCAUCCAUCUCGCGUUAAAAAGUGAAUGGGGAGCGGCCUGACACACAGAGAGCCUAUUAGCCAACUGGGGCUCCCGCGGAGCGCAUUGAGGUAAGCUCCCCCAGCGGAACUGUCCAUGGUGCUGGAGCGGUAAGAGGGUUUCUUCACUGCACACGUGCGUCCUCCCUCAAAAACUCAAAAGAGCUAGGGUUGACAUUUCAAUGCCUUUCAUUGUAUUUCCAUCCCAUUUAGUGAUGGUUCUGUGACAAAAUCUAUAUUGGAAAGACACAGCUCACUUUCCUAACUUUUCUUUUUCAUCAGCAGUAUGUUUUUAAGCCAAUUUCUUCAUAGUGUGAAAGAACUAUUCCAUGUUUGGAACUAAUAUCUUUUUUUUAUCAUGAAUUAAAAUAAACACCUUUCUUAUGUUGCCCAACUCUCUGUCAAUUGCAAAAGUUUGAGCAGGGGCUUCAUAGCACGUGCCUUGUGUGUAGCAUUGCCUAUUGAGUUGAUUGUUAUUUACAAGAUGGAUUGUUAUUAGCGCUGACUGUGGUCUUUAUUAUUUACAGAUUAUAUUGGAGAUAAUACAACUCACAAACUAAACUUUAAAAACAACACGACAACAAAGUGCCCAAACCAUGUGCUCCUGGGUUGAAGGUUUACUGGUAUUUGUACCAUGCAGUAAUUAGCCAGCACCUGGCUUUGCUUUUAAAUGAUUCCACAGACCUAUUACAGUUUUCCAACUACCUUUUGAAAAUAUCAUAUGCUCUACCUUAAUUUUUAACUAAUUCUGACAGAAAUGAGAAUGAUCAAGACAAUUACGGAGAUACAGUGUUAACUUGCAGUGCUCAAUAUUUAGAAUGUUUUUCCGAUCUUUUCUUACAUUUUUCAACAAAAGUUACUGUAAUGCACUCAUUGAGGAGAAUAGUCGGGACCGUCAGUCAGCCCUCCAAGUCACUAUACUCAGUAUUCUUUUUGAGAAAACUUUAUUUUCUAUUUUUAAAAUAGAAAUAUUUAUCCUUAAUUAAAUUAAACUGUAUUUCGACUUUGAAAACAUUUAAAACUCAAAUUCAGCUCAUUAUACUAAAUAGUAUUCAUUAACAAUAAGAAGAAAUCGCAAAAGCAAUGAGCAGUAUGUGAGACGUAAUGCCAACAUGGGGUAUAUAUUACAGAAAACAUCCAACUACAUAUCAUAUCUUUGUGGUUACAUUUUUUCAGUAAGAUAGAAGUCUGUCUUGAAUAAAGUCUUUUAAAAUGACUAACCUUAAGCUGCUCUUUUUUUAUUCUGCAACACUGGAUGGUACAAAGCAGAACGGAAUUCAUUUUUUUGACAAAGGUUCAAGGCAUCGGGCAAUAAUGAAAGGAUAGGGGCGAUACUUCAAAGACCACAAGGUGCACAUCACACAAUUAUACAAUACAAUUAGGAUUAAAAGGGGCAAAGGAGAUAAGAGGAGAUAGGGAUAUAUUAUCACAAAAGGAAAGAUGUGACUCUCUCCUGACCUUCAUUAAGAGGGAAAAAAACUCAUUUAGAGCUGGCCUUCCUUGCAGGGGGAUUUGAGCCUUUUGCAUGAGACUGCGACUCCCUAGAUAAGAUUUGCAGAGUAUAACUGAGAAUCCACUAAACAAUAACAACAUGCAUGUCCAGAAAAAGAUAAUACAAUAAAUAGUCCUUCACAGGUUUGUAUAAAUUGCAGAUAAAUGUAUUUAGAUAGUUGCUAUGUAAACAGACUAAUUUUUGACAGUUUCUUGGUCACAACACACAAAUAUGCUGUAUAUAUGUACUGUAUAACCUUAUUCCCCGUAGCCACAAUACUUUCAGUGUCCCCACCAACAAUACAACAUAUUUAGAAAAGUUGGAGAGGAGUUGGAUAGACAUCAAGAGGAUACAAGAAGACCCAUCUUGUCUUCACCGACUUUUAUUUUUCCUACAUGACAUCUGCUUAAUGCCGAUCAUGUAUCGGUAGUGUGAUUAUCAAAUUUGUUUUCAUCUGCAUGAACAACAUCCUAAUCACUCAUUGGCUCUCCAAAGAUUGGCAUGUCUCUGUAAGGUUGUCUACGGUCUGAGAGCAGAGUAAAGAUGAUUCAGACUACAUUAAUGUGAUGUCUGGUGAAUAGAACUACUCAACAAAAAAUGGUACUUAACCACAGUGUUCUCACUCCCAACUCAUCACAAGCUCAGUCCGCAGCUUCAAACAAGGUCUAGUAUCAGUUUUACACGUGUUGGGGACAGCGUGUCAGUUAUCACUCAUCACAUGCAUAGUGAUAUUGGAAUGCGCCAUCAGAUUGUUACUUAAAUUGUUCACACGUUUCUACGCAAUGAAAAUAAAAGGGUUUAAUUCUCUUUUUUUCUUCGUUUUUAGUGCUUUUACUCAACCCUAUAUAUGAAGUACAGGGGGACACAGAGAGCAUCUGGUGUCCUAAAAUGGCACUAUACUCCCUCCCGUAAUAGUUAAUCUAAACUCCUCCCUGUCCUUUGUUUGGAGGUGGAUGCCUCCAAUGUGGAAUAAAGUUUCUCCACUAAAGACCAUCUCCCAAGGUUCAGAAAAACCAUCCUUGUGCCUUUUUUCCUCUUCUUAAAUCUGCUAAACCAAACUAGGAAAUCAGUGGUGGGUGCUGCAGACUAUGCAAGAGGAAGAACAGAACCACUGGCUUACCCCAGAAAAGCAGCCUCCAUCCAGACAGUAAAGGCCAGACUAUCAGCGAGCCAAUUCCACCUUAGUCUCACACGGUCCAAUUAUCAGAAAUAUGAUUUGUUACCCGACCUCAACCACAGGUGGACAAACUCAAUUCAAUCAAUGGCUCCUCUGUUAUCUUAGUUUUCGUUGCAAACAUUCGUUCUUUCUUCGAUGACAUUCAUUGGAAACAAAUAGUUUCUGUCUCGGCCCGAUGUGGAAUCAUAAAGGUCUCACACAGGUUUUCUGCCAUCUGGAAGACAACAACAUCAUCUCAUGCACAGCUUCUAAUUUAGUCCAGUACCUUAACCUCUCUCCUGCGAACGAAGAAGAACAACCCAUGACCAGUCACAUCUUCUACCUGCAUUUGUAUGCAAUAUCAAAUGCAUCGGGUCCUCGAUGAUGGUUUCUUGCGCUCCUUGUCAAUCUAACCUCCCAUAUCUUUCCCCCAUCUAGUAGCAGAUGGGACACUUCAACAAGAGCCCUGAGGGUACCCAUCACUUCCUGAUGUCCAGCAAUCAACACUCUGAGACAUCAACUCUAUCAACUCUAGUACUUCUAGAUCUCUCUUUGUGUUGUCAUUCAUGGGUUGGAGAAAGAAGUUCAUACGGGACAUUGUCUGCUUUAGUUUUUUCGCUCAACUUGAAUUAUUUUUUAUCCUUGCUUGCACACCUUGGGUGCAGCUCCUAUCACCAACUUCCAAUGGAAUCAUCCAAAGCAAACUAUGGACAUCAAACUGUUUGCAAGAACAACACCGUGCUUGGGAGAAGGCGCUCUAUGAUUACUGUGCCCAGGAACAUACCUGUAGCUCUGUCUUCCUCCUCUCUAACCGAGAGGAAGUUAAUACUGAAGACAUAGAGGUCAACAGAUUUGUGGGUGAAUAAAGAGUUAUGAAAAGAGUUGUCAAAUCCAGAGAUGGGAUAAUCUUUUAAGAUAAUUUAAGAUCUAUAUAGUCUACAUUAUUAUUGUAUUAAUCAGUGUAAAGCCUUUGGAAGCAUGAGGUAAUUAAACAAAUGCUGUCAUAGCUGAUGAAAUGACGAUGUACACAAUUGAACUCAUACAACAGCCGGCUCUCAACUGUGAUGUUAUUCAAUCUUAUGCUACAUUCUGUAUUUGGAGCUAUUCUGAAAUGUAAUAACAGCUGUUCCUUUAAAGUAUUAUGACACAUUUAUACCCACUCAUUAACUCUCAUUAUGGCCCACAGCCAUAUCUCAUCAGUGGACAUAAUUGGUCGACUGGAGUCCGUCCCAGCACGGACACCCUACACUUUAUUAUAAAUAUGACAUGGAAUAUUGUGAGAUAUAAGUGAGUUUUGAUUAAUUUGGUUAUGAAACAGUGUAGACACACAUUUGGAAAUGUUGCAUUUACUAGGAAAGCACAUAUUUAUGCAACAAACUCUUUUCAUCUCCUACCAACAGGGCCAACAGUGCCUCCACCGAGUGUGAGACCCGAUCCUCGAGACGUGCACACAGCUUCAGCCAGGAUUUGCAGUUGAGAGGUGGUACAAACAGCUGCUUUAGGAAUCGGAGCUGGACUGUAGAAGAUCUCAAGAGACCGCCAGUUCAAAAGACGGUUCAAUUUAAGAGUUCCCAUCGGAAAUGGUUUCAGAAAGUCUUUGCCAUACGUUGGCGCUUUGAUGUGUUUUAACUAUCGUAAUCUUGCUGUUCAGCGAUGGGAUAAUAAAUUAUGUUCAUUAUUCCACCGUAUGUGCUCUCUCUUUUUUGACUUCACAUUACAUUUAACAUUCGCUGCAAAAAUAUGAAAAUAUUACCAUAGAAAUGAGAAUGUGGAACAUAGAUCUAGUUGCAUUUGCUGCAUCAUAGUGAGAGUAUAUGAAACAAAUUAGUUUGUGAUAGUAUAUACACAGUAUAUAGUAUAUAAUGAUUAUGAUAUUUCAAAGAACAGCCAGACUAUUUGGUAAAAACUGACCUUUCUCCUGAAAGACAGUGGUUUUGAUUGGAUCAUAGCGAUCUAUUAGUCCAUCGGGUUUGACCCCCAUCGUGUCACAGUUGGAAGGUGACUCCAUGUCAUAGAGUCAAAGGAUGUCCUUUGAACUCGCUAGGUCAUUUAUUAAUAAAAGAAAAGAUUGAUUUUGUGUCAUAAGAAUCCUUUUCAGUUUUUUUCCUAACUAGCAGUCGUCUUUGGCUUACGUUGUGACCUACACGUUGCUUUCUAUCAAGUGUCACAUUUAGAUAUAUAUGCAUUCGCAGGUAAAUCUCUGAUAGCUGUCUAUUCAAAAGCAAACAAAACUUGAAAAGAGGAUAUAACCUCAACUCAGAACUCUGGAGGGGUGGACUAAGAUUGAAAUUGGUCCGACUCUUUCUCUCUCUCUCUCUCUCCCUCUCUCUCUCCCCCCCUCUCUUUCUCCCUCUCUUGAAUUGAGGGUCCAUUGUUGUGCGUCAAACAAAAGCUUUUUAUCACAGGCUCUUAAUGUAACCCCGUCUCCUCACUCUCACGGCCACCAACUCGUUCUCCUCUUCCUCUCUUUUCUCAUUCAUUUAUUCCACUGUGUGUGGAAAUAGGCUGGGCAACAAUUAAUUUCAGAGUGAAUUCAGGCAGGAUCUAUUACCCCUCUCUGCCUCUAUUGCUCUAAUGGAAAUCUAUUUCACUUCUCUUUUGUGUCCAAUAUAAUUUAAUGCCCAUUUUAUUAAUGGCCUGAAAUAAUUACGGAAGGCUUUUGUGAUUCUUGAGUAUGUUUCAUUUAAUUGUGUAAUAAAUGUCUAAUCAGGGCUCCCAUCUGAAGCCAUUAUGGCAUUAAAAUUAACAAUUACGCCACAAAUGUCUUGGUGAAUGCGUUGGGGUCUAUAGAAAUCGUUGCUGAUAACAAGACACAUAUAAAUCAUUCAUGAGAAUUUUUUUUCAGAGAAAAGCGGAGUGAGAGAUAGGAGGGUGGGAGGGAGAAAAAAAGAAAGUGGGGGAAGAAAAGAGGAGAAGAAAGAGGCUGAGUUUUCUUUAUUCCAUUGAAAAACCGGGGAUGGCCAAACGAUAGGGCAUUUUAAAACUGUGUCACCCUCUCCAGUUCCUUUCUUCCCCCGUCUCUCUCUAUCUCCCUUUAAUUUGCCUUCCUCUUUAUUUUUGAAGUGACAGAUUUCACUUUGGGAAUUCAUUAACCGUUAACUUGGGCGAUAAAAUAUCUAUCAGGCCCUCUGCCCGGUUCCUUUGCUAAGCUGCGUGGCGCUCCGGUUCAUCGUUGUGGGUGACCGAAGGCAAUUAAAGAGGCUUCACACUCCCUCACUCCCCCAGUGUCACUUCCUCAGUGAAAACAGGAAGGCUGCUCAACGUACCAGCAAGAAUUGUUUUCUUAGUAGCCAAGUAUACAAAUUUCAUGGUGUGGGGAAACUCCAUCUGCUGCAAGAAACCCUCGUCAGUUCCUCUGUGUCAUUUCGAAGCUAAUAUACUACAAUUGGUUUUGGUGAAUCUAUUUUAGCAGCAUAAGGUUUUGGCCUUCUUUGUUCUCUAUUACCAUGAUGCACAAAGGGCCUCCCGGGGCAAUGGAUUGGACCUUGGUCCCAACCAGACUCUUUCAAGUGACUUAAUCAAGUGCCUUUGAUGUCGAUGACAUCACUUGUUAAUAAGAGGGCCGAUUUUAUUCUCGAUCCAACAUCCAUUUUUUGAAUUGCGCAAUCUUGGAUAAGUUGGUUGAUAUGAGCCGUCUCUGACUCUGCCUCCUUUCUGCUGCUGGAGUUCCAAUGAUUCAGCCACUGGUUAGUCAACUAGGCCAGCUCCAGCCUCGGACAAAUGUGUUCAUGCUAAAUGUUUCCGUUGCUCAUAUGCACUGCCGAUCUAAGAGCUGUACGUCCAGCUUUUUAAGAUAAAAAGAAAAUGUGAGAUGUAUUGUACGAGGCUCGUACAUUCAUGACAAGUUCAUCUGUAAUUCUAUGUAUUGUAUAUUGAUCAUUUCUUUGUUUUGUUCUUAAACGUGGAACCUUCACUGUCAAUGACGCAUUUUAACCACUUAUAUAAUAAUGUAAAAUCUUUAUAAGUCUUGAUAACAGAAACAGCAGAACUUUGCAAGCAAACUACUUUGCUGUUCAGCCAAGCUGUCUUAUAACGGCCCAAAGCCUCUUGUGAUUAGUUAUCUUUAAAAGGUCGUGUCCUGAUAUUAGAAGAAUUCCUUAAUCGUUCAGAAUGAUUCUUCAGUACAUUAUAGAAAAACUAAUAACCCAGUUUAUGGGCUAAUGUCGGCCCACAUGGAACAAUAGAUCCAACUUACUGGAGAUUUCUUUCCCAGGAAUGCCAUAGAUUUUUUGAUUGAUGAAUGCAUUGAUAUAUGCAGUAUACAUAUCAGGAACCACUGAAUGCCCCAUUAAGGCAUACUUUAAAAAAGAUAACGAUACCGAUAAAAAAAUAAGAACUAGAGGCAAAUUCUAAUUCAAACUCAAUGAAUUCACGGAAAGAAGAGCAAACCCGCACAGGCCCUCAGAGAGAGAAAUGACAAACUGAACACAAAUCACUUCAACCAUCUCAGCUAUUUACUACAUUUCUCCCUAUUAGGGCUUCUUUUGUUGAAACAGAUCUCCUAUACAAUUAUGCAUUUAACUGAUGUGCAAAUUAACCUUGGCAUUUUUACAAAAGCACUUGUGUCCACGCCUUCAACCCCCUUCUUCUUCCAACCAAUUUAAUUCCAAGCUCCAGAUUUCAUGGUAAAUUUUAUCUCCCUCACACUCAAAGACUCCAUCAUCAAUUCUUCGCAACUUUUCUUGUCCCCUUUCUCUGCAGAUUCACUGCGAAAAUUGGCCAUUCAGGUUAUCAAAUAACCGUGACCGCUAUAAUUCUACGGCAACACCCGUUGCUUUGAAUAUGCAUCGGGAAGGCUGACCUGCAGCGGCAAUUAGUCUCUGUUUAUCCUUCACACAAAUCACACAGCUCCUGCUGUUCUUUCUUUCACGCUCUUUUUUUUCAGCUGAGUAAGAGGACUGAAACAGCCAGGAAGUCAAUCCUCACUUAAAGCCAACUCCACCUCUUUAAUUCAUGCUCUGGUGAAAUCAUGAUAUAAAUAUAGUUAAAGGCACAUUUCAAGCAACAGUAGAUGAACAGCUCAGUUGGCUGUCAUUUUUUCUCACCAGAUUUCAGUCAUGUUGAAUUUGCACAUUUGCGCAUGUAUAGAAAAAUGGAAAUGGCCACAGAGAAUAAGAGGAACCAAGGAAGUGUAACAACAACAGCGUCUGCCAAAAAGCUUGGUUUCCUGACAUUAUAGGCAAGUUCCUGAGCGAUGCUCAUCAUCCCCAGAGGAGAAGCCUCCCUGUUAGCUGCGCAAAAAAAGGUCUGUGUGUUUAUGGAUCACGAUGGGCUGUAAUGUCAUCAGCUUGAUACACAUUUAGAGAUGCAGGGAGCGACUUUGCAACAGCUGAUGGGGAUGUCGCACUUUGGACGGAAG